rnacentral:lncRNA from 1 species
AUCAAGUUAAGCAAACCUUAACAGCAUUCAAUAUGAAAUCUUUUGGGAUAUUUGUGGUUCUUUUUGCCUUCAUCGCUCUAAGUUUAGCUGGUGGACAUGAUCAUGAUGAUUACUAUAAAAGUUCUCAUGACGACUCAAAUAAGGUGGUCUACGUAGAAAAAGAAUCCAGAUACAAUAGACCCAGUUACAAAGUUGAGGAGGGAGAUUCAGAAUAUAAGAACGUAGUUUAUAAAUAUGAAGAACCAGAUGAGAAGAAGGUUCGUGUUGAUGUUAAAGUGGUUAAACAACAAGGAAAAGAUGAAAAUGUUUGGUACAAAUACCUUGAGAACUACCAUCACUAACAAUUUUGUCAAAUGUUAUUGUAAUCCUAUUAAAUAUAUUUUUUCAAAGGUU